rnacentral:lncRNA from 1 species
GUAACGGUCCAAAACUAUAGUUUAAUUUAGCCCUUGUUAUUUAUAUGUUUAUAACGCCCUCUAGUGUUUUAAAUAAAGGUGGAACUUAUGUUCUAAAUAUAGUUCCGCCCGACCUCAAUUCGGCGCGUACAAAGCCCAAACAGCGCCAACGGCAGCCACGAUUUUCCUGACUUCAGGUAAAAUAAUAAGUGUUUAAUAAAAUGUGAAAUAAUAAUAAAGCCCAGAUAUUUAUUUCUAUUCUUUGUUUAAACAGCCACUGAGAAAAAGCAGUGCAUUUUUUGAGUCUUAGAUGAACAUUUUAGCCCCUCGUUGGAAGACAGCUCACGAGAUGCCACGCCUGAAGUCCUACAAGCGUUCCCAGGCAACCAAGCGGAGGUUUGCUGCCCUUCAACAGUCCAGUGAUGACUCUGCAUGUAAGUUACUCGGGAUACCGUAGCUGUAAAAAUACUUUUAGAUUAGUUAUCUUAUCAUGAAUAACAAUAUUUAAGGGUGUAAAAAUGUAUCCAUCA